CCUCCUGUCUUUCUUUGUCUUUUUUAGACUGAAAGCAUCCCUUAGACCUUGUUUGUCUUAUGGCAUUGACAUUUUUGAAAAGUAUAGGUCAUUUAAUUGUAUAAUAGAAUAUCUCUCAAUUUGGGUUUUUCUGAUGCUUCCUCAUGAAAAUAUUCAGAUUAUGUAUUUUAGGUAGAAAUAUAUAAAGUUCUCCUUACUUUGUAUCAUAUGACCCUGCACACUCUUUCCAGGUCAUAGAUGGUUAUCUGAAGAGCAGCCAGUGUUCUAUCAGGAAGGUGGAAUGAGAGUUCUUUGCUCAAGAGUAAUCUCACUGGAUUAUGACAGGAGGGGCAGAACUCAUUCUGGAAGGGCCGGUGGGAACAACACCAUUUGGAAAGUACACAACACAGGACACACAGCAGAGCCCAACAAAGUCCUGAACUGUUAGCUCUCAGGUCCUGAAGAAACGAGAAGGUUCAUUGGAAUCUGAAUUUCACUGUAGACAAACAGUCCUCUUUGCAUGGCCAAAUGACCAUUAUUUUCCUAAAAUUAUUCUAAGAAUAUCUUGUAACGUAAGUUUGAAUAAACUGACUGACAUGCCA